UACAGAGAGUGCGAACGUUGUUCGGAAUUACUGGGCUUAAAGCGCACGUAGGCGGCAUCGUAAGUGUCCGGUGAAAUCCCACGGCUCACCCGUGGAACUGCCUGGCAGACUGCGAUGCUCGAGUGUGGUAGGGGAGAGCGGAACUCCUGGUGGAGCGGUGAAAUGCGUAGAUAUCAGGAGGAACACCGGUGGCGAAGGCGGCUCUCUGGUCCAUGUCUGACGCUGAGGUGCGAAAGCUAGGGGAGCAAACGGG
rnacentral:rRNA from 1 species